rnacentral:rRNA from 1 species
AUUGAACGCUGGCGGCAGGCCUAACACAUGCAAGUCGAACGGUAACAGGAAGAAGCUUGCUUCUUUGCUGACGAGUGGCGGACGGGUGAGUAAUGUCUGGGAAACUGCCUGAUGGAGGGGGAUAACUACUGGAAACGGUAGCUAAUACCGCAUAACGUCGCAAGACCAAAGAGGGGGACCUUCGGGCCUCUUGCCAUCGGAUGUGCCCAGAUGGGAUUAGCUAGUAGGUGGGGUAACGGCUCACCUAGGCGACGAUCCCUAGCUGGUCUGAGAGGAUGACCAGCCACACUGGAACUGAGACACGGUCCAGACUCCUACGGGAGGCAGCAGUGGGGAAUAUUCCACAAUGGGCGCAAGCCUGAUGCAACCAUGCCGCGUGUAUGAAGAAGGCCUUCGGGUUGUAAAGUACUUUCAGCGGGGAGGAAGGGAGUAAAGUUAAUACCCUUGCUCAUUGACGUUACCCGCAGAAGAAGCACCGGCUAACUCCGUG